rnacentral:rRNA from 1 species
GAUGAACGCUGGCGGCGUGCCUAAUACAUGCAAGUCGAGCGAACGGACGAGAAGCUUGCUUUUCUGAUGUUAGCGGCGGACGGGUGAGUAACACGUGGAUAACCUACCUAUAAGACUGGGAUAACUUCGGGAAACCGGAGCUAAUACCGGAUAAUAUUUUGAACCGCAUGGUUCAAAAGUGAAAGACGGCCUUGCUGUCACUUAUAGAUGGAUCCGCGCUGCAUUAGCUAGUUGGUAAGGUAACGGCUUACCAAGGCAACGAUGCAUAGCCGACCUGAGAGGGUGAUCGGCCACACUGGAACUGAGACACGGUCCAGACUCCUACGGGAGGCAGCAGUAGGGAAUCUUCCGCAAUGGUCGAAAGCCUGACGGAGCAACGCCGCGUGAGUGAUGAAGGUCUUCGGAUCGUAAAACUCUGUUAUUAGGGAAGAACAUAUGUGUAAGUAACUGUGCACAUCUUGACGGUACCUAAUCAGAAAGCCACGGCUAACUACGUG